UAGACGUCGUCCCUCUUUUCGUGCGACUGUUGUAGGCCCGCCCUCAAUCGGACCAUGGGGCUGCGUGAUGAAGUUAAAGCCUUCCACACUUGGGAGCGACCUUGGAGAGUUGAGUCUAGGGAAAUAACUCGUGGAACCUUGCAUGUGGGGAGCAAAGUUCGACUGGCCUACGGGUAGAGCUGGAGUCGAAGUGGCGACUGGCCUGGGGCCUACGCACGAGGAGGAACAGUGGCACUGUCUCAGUAAUUCAUCGCAUCCGUUACGCAGAAAAUGCAAGGAGCUGCUAAAAUUUAUUGUUUCGAAUAAAGGAACAAAGUACUUAUAUGCAUGAGGAGGCCAGUACGGUUGCCCACAGAUUGAAAAUACUUGCUCCUAAGUUCCUGGGAUACAAGAAUAUCUGGGCAGUAACAGGAUUCUCUAGCAAGAAAAGUUGGUGAUAAGACAUCGUAAAAAGACAAAUGUGG